ACUCAACCAACCCCAUCUCUUUUUUCACCAUCAGCCACCGUCUCUGGCCGUUGCGGCCAAUUGUCAUCACAGUCGCCUCCCCCACGUCUCGCCACUUUCUCCUUUGUGUCAUCCACAACCAUCUUUGCUCUCUGUAUUUGCUGACCCAACACUCUCCCUCACUCUCUCUCUUCCCUCACCACCAAAUCUCUGUGAGGUCUCGGCACAACCAUUGAUGACCUGAUCUGGCCAUGGCCUUGAGAUCUCACCAAGAUCUUAGUGGACGGGCCAGAUAAGGGGGAGGCGUCCUCAGAUCUGGAGACGACCCUCUAACCUCAUCACUGUCGACAACUUAAUCGUAAUGACUAGGGGAGCUUGAUGCGGUGAAAUUAAUAAGAGAGAAUCGUGUCUUGGUUUGGUGUUGGAGACAACGGAUAGGUACAUAAAUGGUACAAUGGAUCUGCAUCCAAGGGACAUAAAUAGGGAUGGUGAAGGCCAUAAAAUACAAUGCCUUAGAUCUAGCAUAAAAUAUGUAACCAGACGGCAUAGUCACAAAAACACAAAGCAAACAUAGACUAAUUCAUAAUAUGAACGGCCUAGGCUAUUUUAGGCUACAUUACUAGCCAACUGUCAAUAGAGUGCGAGGUCCUACAAUAGCGUGCCAUCAAGAAGCUCAAGUUUGGCAUUAAGAUCACCAAUAUCAGGGGGCGGUAGACUUCCUGG
rnacentral:lncRNA from 1 species